rnacentral:lncRNA from 1 species
CGCGAGCCACGGGCCUCGCUGCGGGUUCAAGUGCGUCCGGGUUUGGACGUCGCGGCUCCAGGAGUGUGCUCUCUCUCCUGCCCAUCCCCUCCCCGGAGUUCAGCGCAUCCGGGGCCCCGGGGACCCCUCUUCCCGGCCCUCCUGGCCGCGCUGGCCCGCCCGCAUGGGGCCGAGGUUCCUGGCCGACGCGCGAGGGCGCGGGCGGGUACCGGGUUCCCGUUUUUCCCAGGCCCCGAUCCCCGCCCACGCACGAGGCCCCCGGCCCACGCACGAGGCGCCCACGCCCAUCGUGGAGGCUCCGCCUGGAAAAGAAGUCCGACUUCCUCUCCAAGCUGCUCCGAGGGGAAUGGGGAAUCGGCAGGAAAUGACCCGAACUGCCAGCCUGCGCCUUUGCAGCCGGCCCUCGCUUUGCUGAAGACGAGCAGCUCCCACCAAAGUCUUGCCUCCCCUUACCCCGAAAGCCCCGCUCAGGUCAAAGAGCCUAAAAGAAAAGCCCGGGCCGGGCGCGGUGGCUCACGCCUGUAAUCCCAGCACUUUGGGAGGCCGAGGCGGGCGGAUCACGAGGUCAGGAGAUCGAGACCAUCCCGGCUAAAACGGUGAAACCCCGUCUCUACUAAAAAUACAAAAAAUUAGCCGGGCGUAGUGGCGGGCGCCUGUAGUCCCAGCUCCUUGGGAGGCUGAGGCAGGAGAAUGGCGUGAACCCGGGAGGCGGAGCUUGCAGUGAGCCGAGAUCCCGCCACUGCACUCCAGCCUGGGCGACAGAGCGAGACUCCGUCUCAAAAAAAAAAAAAAAAAAAGAAAAGAAAAGCCCGGAGCCAUACACUCACCUGGUUGAAGCCAUAAAGAGUUCAAUAUUUCAAGUGAAAAUCUGCCUGUUCGAAAAGAAAAUAUUCACAAAUGAGCAGUGUAUUAGAAGACAACUGAAUUGCUUCUAAGAAUGGGUCUCACUCUGCCAUCACCCAGGCUGGAGUGUGGUGGCACCAUCAUGGCUCACUGCAGCCUUGAACUCCUGAGCUCAAGUCAUCCUCCCACCUCAGCCUUCCGAGUAGCUGGAACUGCAGGUGUGAGCCACCAUGCCUGGCUGAUUUGUCUUUUUAAAUUUUUUAUAGAGACCGAGUCUCAACUAUAUUGUCCAGGCUGGAAAAGAACUUCUUUCCCUCCAAGUGAUAACCUUUUCCAGACAAGUCAGCUUAAAAACUGACCCAAAGGCCCUGAAGUACACAGUUUUCUUGGAGAAAGAAAAAAAUAAGUGAAAAGGACUUGCUGACUUGCUAAUUCAUUUUGGGGCCUGUGGGUAACAUCAGAAUGGCAAAGCACUUGGGGCUUUUUUCUAAUUUGUAUUUUUUUAAUCUUCUGAGAAAUGACUUUUAUAUGCCAAGAUUCAUUCCAUGAUUAGUUUUUAUGACCAAGUUAUGAACGCUUUUGAAUAUGGGGACCUAGAAUAGAAAUGCUAACCUACCUGCAAGGAGAGCUCUGUGAUUGGCAUCCCCAUCAUGCUGUAACUGACACAAAAUAAACUUAGGGUAAUUGCC